rnacentral:rRNA from 1 species
UGGGGAAUUUUGGACAAUGGGCGAAAGCCUGAUCCAGCAAUGCCGCGUGUGUGAAGAAGGCCUUCGGGUUGUAAAGCACUUUUGUCCGGAAAGAAAUCCUCUGGGUUAAUACCUCGGGGGGAUGACGGUACCGGAAGAAUAAGCACCGGCUAACUACGUGCCAGCAGCCGCGGUAAUACGUAGGGUGCAAGCGUUAAUCGGAAUUACUGGGCGUAAAGCGUGCGCAGGAGGUUUUGUAAGACGGAUGUGAAAUCCCCGGGCUUAACCGGGGAACUGCAUUCGUGACUGCAAGGCUAGAGUAUGGCAGAGGGGGGUAGAAUUCCACGUGUAGCAGUGAAAUGCGUAGAGAUGUGGAGGAAUACCGAUGGCGAAGGCAGCCCCCUGGGCCAAUACUGACGCUCAUGCACGAAAGCGUGGGGAGCAAACA